GUCGACAGGCCCCUGGGUCGCCCCAGUCCGCGGCUCUGUUCAGAGCAGCUCAGCCUCCAGCAGGCUGGCCGGUGCCUGCUGAUAGACACGCGCUCAGGCUUCCCCUUGGGCGCGAUCCCGGGAGUGGGGUUGCCGGAUCAGAGGUGAGCAGUGUGCCUUAAGGAUUUGGGAUUUCAGGGAAAGGAACAAGGAGGAGGAGGAGGAGGAGGAGGCCGGGCCCGGGGGCAGCCUUCCAGAGGCUGGAGCAGAGUUGAGGGAUGUGGACCCAGUGGGGAACUGACUGUGAAGUCGGUCAGGUAGGACCCUUACCCUACCGUCCCCAUCAACAAAUCUGGGGAAGACUCUGUUCCAAAGCUCUCUCAGUCCUGACUUUCAACAGCAUCAACCAGGGAGUUUUCAAAAAUCCCAGUGUGCUGUCUCCAUUCUAGGAAUUCUGACUCACUUGGUCUGGGGUGAAGCCAGGCACGAGCUUUUAAAGACUCUCUGGGAGAUUUUUCUGGAAGCUGAGGCAGAACACGAAGAGGUCUUGAUAGUGGCCGGUCCCUGAUAUCACAAUGGAUUCCCAAGCGUCUACCUACCAGUGGAGACCACCCACCCACGGGCACACAUGUCAGGCAGGGCUCUCAAAGGUGGACUUGGGCAAACAAAGGUGACAAGGACCUCACUGGAAGGGUGUGAGGCAGCUCUCGGAACUUGGGGCCAGGCUGGGGGAGGACCCAGGAAGGACAGCCUCUGCCUAGAGGCCCCACAGGGACUGGCUCCUUUUGUAGCCCACGCAGCUGCCCGCCCUGGCUCUGACUGCAGUGCUCCAGAAGCCCGCUGAAGCCUUUCUGGCUGAGCGGGGCACUGGCCCGGCCAUGCUUGGGGUCUGCACAGUUGUGCUCAAGGGAGAAAGGAUGUUGGGGUGCCGAGGAGCCACAGUCACAGCACCCCAUGGGCGCUGGCAGGAUGGGAGUGGGGUGAAAAAUGUUCUGGAAGGGACUAAACAGGGGACGAUGGAUACCCCCAGGUGAACGAUGGUCAGUGAUUCUCCAUCAUUAACCUUUUUUACCUUCUCAACGGUGGUCCAGAUUCUGCAGCUAGCCCUUAGAGCCCCAGGAAUAUGGAACCCAAGUGAGCUCUCUGCUACCCUGGGUCCCGCGGAACAGAGACUGACCCAGGGAUGUCCUUGUCCACUUCCCUAAAACCUCCGGCUCUUCUCACUAAUAGUGUGAUCCUUACCAGCCAGUGUGGACACUGUCCCCUCUUGCUGUGGCCACAGUUGGCAUCUUCUUAUUGGGAGUGACAGCCCCUCAGUGAGCUGGCUUUGAAGUCAUUCAGGGUAGGGCGUGUUUCCUGCAAUGCCCUGGGCUUUCCAGAAUGAGGAGGAGACAGUCAGGCCCCCUGGGAGCCCAGGGGUCCCUCCAACCUCUGGGUUCUCUGGGAGGAGGGUCAGGCAGGUGGGCCUGAGGGGGACUGCCGCUGAGCAACCUCCCCUGCCCUCCCCUGGCUGUCUGGGCUGCUCCAUCACUCCCCUCCCCCUCCCUCUGGGCUCAGGUGCUGGGAGCAAUCUUGGAAUCCAUGGAAACCACAGAGAAAGCUGGAAAUCAGAAGGGAGGAGGGGGCUGAGCUCUGUCUUGCAAAUCCUGGGGAGGGGGAGGAAGACUCCCUUUCUUGAUGAGUAAAUGCCUAAAACAUUGUUUCUCUUUCACUGGCAGCCAUUGCACCAGAGGACUGGCCACCGGUUUCACUCAAGGUCUGCAAAACAAGGGCGGGAGGAUUCUCUCUUUGGGAGGAGUGUGCAGGCCCUGGGUUGGGGGGCAAGGGUCAGGAUAGGGAGAGAGGAGAGGGGAAACGGGGGUUGGGGGACUGAGGAUCAGGUAGCCAUUGGUGCGGUGGAGGUGGGGGUAAAGUUCAGGGGUCAGUGGUGGUGAAGUGUUGAGGGUAGGGAAUCUGGGGUGGAGGUGGAAACUGGGAGAUGACAUGAGGAGGGAGGAGGUGGAGAUUGGCAGGAGGGUGGGGUGGGGAGUCAUGGUGGGGGACAGGGGUGGCACAUGGGGUGUGGGCUCUCAUGAGCCAGAGUAGUCCCCCCACCCAACAGCCCCAACUACCCAACUGAAGUAGGGAAGCUUUCGAGGGAUUCCAGUUUAGAAAGGCUGUUUUUCAGUUAGGCCCCAUUUACUCGUGUCCCAUAUCAUGCCUCUGAAUAAGCGAGAGAAGCCAUGUUCCCGCUUCAGGGUGGAAAGCAAGAAAAUUAAUCAUUCUCUGAGUUUUAUCCUAGGCUCCAAACACCUGGUAACACCUAAGAAGAGCCAGAUCCCAAACAUGUGCCAGGACAUCAUGGAACCUCGGCUGACACCAGCAUCAAUACACCUGCCUUCAGUGCUUUACGGAGUAACGUCGCUUGUUCACCUGACGCUCGCCUUUGACCAGACCCUACCCCGGAUUCCUGGAGGAACACGUACCCUAGACCUUCCUCUGACAUAAACCCCCAGCCCCAAGCAACGAUGAGACUCUUUUUUCCUCUCCUCUCCAAGUCUCUCAAGAUGCGCCGUGUGCUAUUCUCCACCUGUCACUUACGCUCUUCAAUAAAUUCUGUUUUCA
rnacentral:lncRNA from 1 species